rfam:Firmicutes bacterium CAG:41 genomic scaffold, scf204
AUAAUGAUACUCCCGCCUUGAACGCGUCACUGCAUUGGGUGGCUGGACGAGAACCGUGCAGGGGUGAAAUUCCCGUGA